ensembl:lncRNA
GAACAGACGCCGUAGUGUAGCAGGCAGCAGGCAGUCAGUUGAUCAGUAACGGAAAGCGGCACAGAUAAUAUCGGUUUGUCUCACGCGUGCCUGCUGUUAAACACUUGACGUAAUUCUCUCUUCUCUGCUCUAAUCUGGAGAGAGGGAGAGAAAGAGAGAAGAGGACAGAGAAUGAGAGAGAGAGAGAGAGGGCAAAACUGAGGAAUGGUGAAUUAGAGGAAUUGACGGAGGAGUAGAGACGUUUAUUCCGGCUGGUUACCUCUGUUCUAGUGACGAGAGAGAGCCGACAGCCCGAUAUACAGGCGGAUUUACCUUCCUCCAACACGGCUCCAGACCAGUGGCUCACCUUCGCUCAACCUGCCCGCCCAGCAGCGCCCUCAUCCCGGCUAGAGGUCCAGGAGCUGUCCUGUCGUCUCCCCCCGUGUGUCUAACCUCAUGUUGUCUCCUUGCUCUACAGGUCCAGGAGCUGUCCUGUCGUCUCCCCCCGUGUGUCUAACCUCAUGUUGUCUCCUUGCUCUACAGGUCCAGGAGCUGUCCUGAAAACGUCGCCUCCCCCCGUGUGUCCUGCGUUGUGAUUGGUGUAGAGAGAGUUCCACUAUGUCAGGCUGACCUUCCUGACCCUCUGUGACCCUCACCAUGGUGACAUGACAGACCUUAGUGUUCCCCACCACAUCCAUGUUAGAAACCCUUCAUAGAGACACACACAUACACACCCUGACACACAUACACCUUGACAUACACACACACACACCCUGACACACAUACACCCUGACAUACACACACACACACCCUGACACACACACACACCCUGACACACACACACAUUGACACACACACACCCUGACACACACACACCUUGACACACACACACCUUGACACACACACACCCUGACACAGACAGACCCUGACACACACACACACACACACACACACCCUGACACACAUACACCUUGACAUACACACACACACACCCUGACACACACACACCUUGACAUACACACACACACACACACACACACACACACACACACACACACACACACACACACACACACACACACACACACCUUGACACACACACACACCCAUCGACACACACACCCUGACAUACACAUGUAUACAUCGCGACCCUCCAGGUAGUGAUGUCGUUAGCGGUGCAUGUCCGUCGCCACCUGCGGCGCUUCCUCCUCCUCCUCGCCUCUGGCUCCCUGCUAGGCUCCGCCUACUUCCUAUUCUCUCACUCCGCCCCCACUCUACAGCUCAACCAAUCAGGAGAGCACGUUGCUGUGGCGUGCCCCCUGCCCUUUCCAACUCCCUACAGAUCCCCCAACACACACACCGACAGACGAUCCGACCGGGACACACACACCGACAGACGAUCCGACCGGGACACACACACCGACAGACGUUCCGACCGACAGACGA